AUUGAACGCUGGCGGAAUGCUUUACACAUGCAAGUCGAACGGCAGCACGGGGGCAACCCUGGUGGCGAGUGGCGAACGGGUGAGUAAUACAUCGGAACGUGCCCGGUCGUGGGGGAUAACGUAGCGAAAGUUACGCUAAUACCGCAUACGAUCUGAGGAUGAAAGCGGGGGACCUUCGGGCCUCGCGCGAUCGGAGCGGCCGAUGUCAGAUUAGGUAGUUGGUGGGGUAAAGGCCUACCAAGCCGACGAUCUGUAGCUGGUCUGAGAGGACGACCAGCCACACUGGGACUGAGACACGGCCCAGACUCCUACGGGAGGCAGCAGUGGGGAAUUUUGGACAAUGGGCGCAAGCCUGAUCCAGCCAUUCCGCGUGCAGGACGAAGGCCUUCGGGUUGUAAACUGCUUUUGUAUGGAAAGAAAAGGCUCUGGCUAAUACCUGGGGCUCAUGACGGUACCGUAAGAAUAAGCACCGGCUAACUACGUG
rnacentral:rRNA from 1 species